GCCUUUUGACAGUGGUGUAGUGGUAGAGCACGCGUCCCCGGAUAGGAUGAAAACGUGGGUUCGAUUCCCGCCUGAGGCC